GCCAAUGUGGUAUAGUGGUUUAAGCACUAGACUACUUCUCUGGAGAUUAGGGUUCGAUUCCCCACUUGGCCA